GAUGAACGCUGGCGGCGUGCCUAAUACAUGCAAGUCGAGCGAAUGGAUUAAGAGCUUGCUCUUAUGAAGCUAGCGGCGGACGGGUGAGUAACACGUGGGUAACCUGCCCAUAAGACUGGGAUAACUCCGGGAAACCGGGGCUAAUACCGGAUAACAUUUUGAACCGCAUGGUUCGAAAUUGAAAGGCGGCUUCGGCUGUCACUUAUGGAUGGACCCGCGUCGCAUUAGCAAGUUGGUGAGGUAACGGCUCACCAAGGCAACGAUGCGUAGCCGACCUGAGAGGGUGAUCGGCCAAACUGGGACUGAGACACGGCCCAGACUCCUACGGGAGGCAGCAGUAGGGAAUCUUCCGCAAUGGACGAAAGUCUGACGGAGCAACGCCGCGUGAGUGAUGAAGGCUUUCGGGUCGUAAAACUCUGUUGUUAGGGAAGAACAAGUGCUAGUUGAAUAAGCUGGCACCUUGACGGUACCUAACCAGAAAGCCACGGCUAACUACGUGCCAGCCGCCGCCGUAA
rnacentral:rRNA from 1 species